CCUACGGGAGGCAGCAGUGGGGAAUAUUGGACAAUGGGGGGAACCCUGAUCCAGCCAUGCCGCGUGUGUGAAGAGGGCCCUCGGGUUGUAAAGCACUUUCAGUGAGGAAGAACGCCUGGUGGUUAAUACCCAUCAGGAAAGACAUCACUCACAGAAGAAGCACCGGCUAACUCCGUGCCAGCAGCCGCGGUAAUACGGAGGGUGCGAGCGUUAAUCGGAAUUACUGGGCGUAAAGCGCGCGUAGGUGGCUUGAUAAGCCGGUUGUGAAAGCCCCGGGCUCAACCUGGGAACGGCAUCCGGAACUGUCAAGCUAGAGUGCAGGAGAGGAAGGUAGAAUUCCCGGUGUAGCGGUGAAAUGCGUAGAGAUCGGGAGGAAUACCAGUGGCGAAGGCGGCCUUCUGGACUGACACUGACACUGAGGUGCGAAAGCGUGGGUAGCAAACAGGAUUAGAUACCCGAGUAGUC
rnacentral:rRNA from 1 species